rnacentral:lncRNA from 1 species
CAUAAUCCAUGCCUUCUCCUUUCAUGCAUUUCAGCAGGUGUUAGGAGUUUAGCAUGUUUAAAGUUUGGUUUAAUAUUUGGGUUGAUGUUUACUUUAAUAAUCAGAUUAUCGGGGGUAGUGUUCUUAGGGUACUAUGAAAUUCUAAGUGGGUUUCGCAGGUCGGGUGGAUCUAUAACAGAAGGUGAGAUUGAAGUUGCUAUUGUUCUUUGAAACAUGAUAUGAGCGAUGAGAAAAAAUAUGCUUCUGAACCAUUAGAGUUUGUUCAUGAAUCCUAGCUAAACUUACAGCCUUAGCUAAUGAUUUAAGACCUAACAUUUUCACAGUUAGUCCAAUUUCUUGUUUAAACCCCCUUACAAAAUAGUUCACAACAUAAUCUUCAGAGAGUUCUACCCUCGUAAGAAAUUCAUCGAAGGCAUCUACAUAAUACUGAACAGAAGUUACCUGAUGUAGUUCCUUGAAGUCUCCCAUCGGAUCAUCAAAUAAUUCUGACCCAAACCUUGCAUACAAUAUCCUAACAUACUCCCCCCCAUAUUGGCCAUUCCCUUGUUUCUGUGCUUAGUGUAAGAUUGGUGCCAUUUCAAAGCCUUUCCUUCCUGCUUGUAGGAAGCCAACUUUACUUGGCACCUUCAGGCUGUAGAGCCAAUCCUUCAACCCAUAUGCAUCAAACUUUGGAAAACCCACCUGGUAAUUUCGAGUGGUCACUUGGCAGGGACCAGCUAAACCAUUAGCCAUGUAGUCAUUCUCCAUUGGAGCAACGCUGUUACCCUCGUGAUACAUGCUAUUAACAGGAAUAUUUUGAACCAUAUGAGGGUUCAAAUUUUCUAUCAUCAACCUCUUAGUUUCUUCAAUUUCUUAUGCCAUCUUUGCAUCUACUGCUUGUUGUAGAUCAUUGAUGGAACCAACCAUACCUUCCACCGAUCCAUUUAAUGAGUUAACUUCUCUCCGUAAUUCUUGCAUACAAUAUGGUAGAAGGUCAGUGGAACAUUGCUCUAUUACCAAUUAUACAAACACAUAAAAUUAGAAAAAGACUACGCUUAACUUAAAGAAUAAAAAUGGAGAAUUGUUCCUGAACGGUUGAGCUCAAGGAAGAAAAAGAGUAAGAGUAAAGAAGAAUGAGAGAUUAUAUUAUUAUUGCUAUGAUUCUCAAUUACCUCAUACAGUUGACUUUAUGCUAUAUAUCAAGCAAUUGAGGGGAAGGGAAGAUUCAAAAAGUUAGUAAUAACUAAUUUGUAUAUGGAUAAAAUUGGAGAGCCCGUUUUACGAUCAUUAUGUCUUUCUGUAGCUUCACUUGGAAGGCUCGGGGGCACAGUUCGAGGUUUCAAUCUCGAGGGUUCUUUAAGACUGGCCUCGGGGUAGCAUAAAUCGAUGGCUAUCAUGGAUAAAACGGGAAGUUUUCUAGGCACGUGGACAAAGCUGACAACACCUACAAUCUGUACAAGACUCCUAAGUAGUUGUACCGGCUACAUUUUUUCGUAAUAAAUAUAUACUAUGUUGGGGUUUCGCCUCCUAUAUAAAGGGGACUCUUAUUAUUUUUUGCACGCAUGGCACAACACACAAAAUUGAAUACAAUAAUAUUCUCUACUCUCUAAUUUAAACA